CUUAAUCACAGCCUGUGUGGGUAAAGGGAAAGCCUUGCCUGGCCAACCCCUCCCACUCCCACCCCCACCUCCUGCAUUGAUUCACAAACCUGGACUGCUCUGGAGGAGGCUGGGAAAGUCCAUCCCCAGGGAAUACCACUUUUUUCCUCUUCUGUGCCUCUCACAGGACACCCACAUGACUAGGAGGAGGCAGAAAGUGAAUAGGGAGCUCUUAUUACUUUUUGAGUGUCAGCAAGUUAAGACAUCAUCUCCAGAAAACUGUGCUAGUUGGCAUCCAGCAGUGCCCAAGUAUUAUUUAACCCACUAGAACCUGUGACUGCAUCAGCUUUAUAUCCUGGACCUCAGCCUGGAACAAAGGAGAGCUACACUUGGAUACUAAACACAAGUGGUCUGGAUAGAUUAUGCUGGGAAAAGAAGCCUGGAGCAGGCAGUACAGUGGGAGAACAAGACAGAAGUGCUUGCCUUGGUGAUCCAAAAAAGGCAGGAUCCGGCCGGGGGCAAGGUGAUUAUUCUGUCUGAUGAGGAGAAUAAGAGCCAGUUUGUGGUAUUGACAGAAGAAUGAAAGUAAAGUCUUGAAAGAUGGGAAGAUCAGGAGCAGUCUGGAGUCAUGGUAUAUGAAUGAACUAGUGAGAGUGGGCACAAAGUCUGAAGAUCUUUGUAGUGCAGCUAAUGUCUAAGGGAGAAUAUACCUACCCUAGAAGAGACAUUAAACAACCAGGUAA
rnacentral:lncRNA from 10 species